UAGUCCACGCCGUAAACGAUGAAUACUAGGUGUCGGGGGCUCUUGCCCUCUCGGUGCCGUAGCUAACGCAUUAAGUAUUCCGCCUGGGGAGUACGGCCGCAAGGCUAAAACUCAAAGAAAUUGACGGGGGCCCGCACAAGCGGUGGAGUAUGUGGUUUAAUUCGAUGCAACGCGAAGAACCUUACCUGGGUUUGACAUCCCGUGCUAUCCUGUGAAAGCAGGAGUUACUUCGGUACACGGUGACAGGUGCUGCAUGGCUGUCGUCAGCUCGUGUCGUGAGAUGUUGGGUUAAGUCCCGCAACGAGCGCAACCCUUGCCAUUAGUUGCCAGCAUUAAGUUGGGCACUCUAAUGGGACCGCUUGCCGAUAAGGCAGAGGAAGGUGGGGAUGACGUCAAGUCCGCAUGGCCCUUACAUCCAGGGCUACACACGUACUACAAUGGCCAGUACAAAGCGCAGCUAAACCGCGAGGUUAUGCCAAUCGCAAAAAGCCUUCCCCAGUUCGGA
rnacentral:rRNA from 1 species